rfam:Alfuy virus strain MRM3929, complete genome.
GGGCCUCUUGGUAGUUUUCCUGGCCACCCAGGAGGUCUUGAGGAAGAGGUGGACGGCCAGAA